rnacentral:ncRNA from 1 species
CGCAUCACGGGCCCGUCCCAAGACGUAGUCAUGUGACCUCGUGUUAUGUGCACCGUCGGGGCGGAGCAAGAGCGUACACAUUGAGACCCGAAAGAUGGUGAACUAUGCUUGUGAAGGUUGAGGCCAGAGGAAACUCUGGUGGAGGACCGUAGCGAUUCUGACGUGCAAAUCGAUCGUAUAACGUGAGCAUAGGGGCGAAAGACUAAUCCCAAAUUAACUUGGCGCCCAAAUACUGUGAAACUAUUUGAUCAAAU